rnacentral:tRNA from 1 species
GGUAAAAUGGCUGAGUUAAAGGCAAUAAAUUGUAAAUUUAUUAACGAAUAAAAUAUUCUUUUACCA